AGUGAACGCUGGCGGCGUGCCUAAUACAUGCAAGUCGAACGGAGUGGCGCACGGGUGAGUAAUGUAUAGCUAAUCUGCCCUACACUAGAGAACAACAGUUGGAGACGACUGCUAAUACUCUAUAGUGUAGGAUGAGGCUAUAUUGUAUCAGCUAGGUGGUGAGGUAAUGGCUCACCAAGGCUAUGACGCAUAACUGGUCUGAGAGGAUGAUCAGUAACACUGGAACGGAGACACGGGUCGGAAUCCUACGGGAGGCAGCAGUAGGGAAUAUUGCUCAAUGGGCGAAACCCUGGAGCGGCAACGGCGCGUGGAGGAUGAUACUUUUCGGAGCGUAGACGCCUUUUGUUAGGGAGGCGUUACCUAACGAAUAAGCACCGGCUAACUCCGUGCCAGCAGCCGCGGUAAUUC
rnacentral:rRNA from 1 species